AUGUCGUCUUCGGAGCCGCGCCCGCGCCCCGCCGUCCCCUUCUCCGUCGAACUGCCCGCGGACGCGCUGUACGAGGUCCUCCUCCGCCUCCCGGCCAAGGACCUCUGCCGCUUCCGCGCCGUCUGCCCCGCCUGGUGCGCCCUCACCUCCGACCCGCUCUUCGUCACGGCGCACAAGUCCCGCCACCACACGGCGCCCCCGCUCCUCGCCACGGCCUACCGCGACGCCGAUGGGGUCAGCGGCGUCGCGAUUUCGGAUUUGUCGGGCAACGUCUUGAAGAGGAUUCCAAGCGCCGGGUACACGUUUGUUAUGAAAAUCGCGGGCGAUGCCAUUGGCCGGUUCACAAGCAAGGACGACAGCAUCAUUGUUUUGAGCGCGCGGCUAGACCUCGUGUGUUUCAGCUGGGAAGAUUACUCUGAGGCCUUGUGGGUGCUGAACCCGACCACCGGAGCCACUAUCGACUUGCCAACGGGCCGCUCCGAGACCGAGUCGUGUGCUUUUGGGCAGGUCCUCCGCGUCUCUAGAAUCGGUGACUGCUGUCAGCCGCAGGUAUGUGAGGUUAUCACCUUUGAUGACACCAACCAUGGAAGUUGGAGGAGAAAGCAGGACCCUCCGUGCUAUAUCUCAUCCAGAUGCAGGACGGGAUGUGUGGUCGUCGAUGGGGUGGUGUACUUCUUGAUGGAUUUUUACUCAACAUACUUCAGAACUCGCAUGAAAACCACUGGACCUGGUAGCAUAGCUGCGUUCGACCUUGAGACAGAGGAUUGGACAGGUGUUCGACCGGGGCCAGAGCCGGUGCACAGGUUUGUGCAAGAGAACGAGGUUUACGGUUACCCAAAACUCGAACUCAUGUUAUCAUUGGCUGAGUUGGACGGCUGCUUAGUUAUGGUUCAUAAUAUUCAUUACAAAUCUAUGGACUUGUGGUUUUUGACAGAUUUUGAGAAAGGUACCUGGGUUAAGAGAUACAGCAUGCCUUCACAUGUUGCUAGGCCUUAUAGGUAUCCUUUUCUGAUGUUAGAUGAUGGGAGAAUUUUCUUCAGUGGGUCGGAUGGUCUACAAGGUUUAUUUAGUGUUGGAGAGCAAGGACGGGGAUUUGUGCGAAGUUAUGAUUCAAGAAAUGACACUUACUCUGAUGUGCUAAAACUGGAAGAUUCCAGAUCCAUUAGCAUUUACACAGGAAGCCUGCUGAGUCUGUAG
rnacentral:rRNA from 1 species